UGCCUAAUGCGGGAAUCGAACCCGGGUCAUAGUGGUCGAAAACCAACGGUUUAGACCAUCCUUCCACCAACUC